AUGAACGCUGGCGGCGUGCCUAAUACAUGCAAGUCGCGCGAACAGAUAAGGAGCUUGCUCCUUUGACGUUAGCGGCGGACGGGUGAGUAACACGUGGGUAACCUACCUAUAAGACUGGAAUAACUCCGGGAAACCGGGGCUAAUGCCGGAUAACAUUUAGAACCGCAUGGUUCUAAAGUGAAAGAUGGUUUUGCUAUCACUUAUAGAUGGACCCGCGCCGUAUUAGCUAGUUGGUAAGGUAACGGCUUACCAAGGCAACGAUACGUAGCCGACCUGAGAGGGUGAUCGGCCACACUGGAACUGAGACACGGUCCAGACUCCUACGGGAGGCAGCAGUAGGGAAUCUUCCGCAAUGGGCGAAAGCCUGACGGGGCAACGCCGCGUGAGUGAUGAAGGUCUUCGGAUCGUAAAACUCUGUUAUUAGGGAAGAACAAAUGUGUAAGUAACUGUGCACGUCUUGACGGUACCUAAUCAGAAAGCCACGGCUAACUACGUG
rnacentral:rRNA from 1 species